UGGGGAGUUUCCAUAUUGAGUCAUGCUGCCUUCAGCUUCUGCAGCGUCCCCCUCCUCACCUCUCCUCCCAGAUCCUGUUCCCUCCCUUACUUUGCAGUCCCCAAGGAACCGGAAUUUCCCCAGGGAUCUCUCAUACUAAGAGAAGAAAAGGCUGAAGCCUGAUGCCAGUCGGAGGGGGAGCUUGUCUCCAGGAACAUCUUCUACGCCAUUCUAAAACUUGUCAGACCGUCUUGAGGGACAGACUGGAGCUGGACACUGAUGGGUCAGUGACCACAGCUGGACCAGGACUGCUUAUGCAUCUUUCUUACCCUCCAUUUAACCUAACCCUUAUAUCAGGAUCCCAAAGACGGAAAGGGCGUACGGCAUUGGGCCUUCUCCUUGUUUUUCUGUUCAAUCAACCUAUUGAAGACAGGUGGCCAAGCUAGCCUGUUCGGGCUGCCAAGACCCAUGAUCUGACUUUAGCAAUUCUGGAGAAUCAGAGCGGGGAUGCUUUUCUUUCAAAGAUGUUGAAAUUCA